GUAGUCUCGCACAGAUGCAUAUCAAUAAGCGGAGGAAAAGAAACUAACAAGGAUUCCCCUAGUAACGGCGAGUGAAGCGGGAAGAGCUCAAAUUUGAAAUCUUAAAGGGUUUCCCUUUACGAAUUGUAGUUUAAAGAAGUGUUUUCUGUUGAGGUUUUGGUAAAAGUUCUUUGGAAUAGGACAUCAUAGAGGGUGAGAAUCCCGUAUUUGACCUUUACUUUCAACUUUGUGAUACACUUUCAAAGAGUCGGAUUGUUUGGGAAUGCAGUCCAAAAUGGGUGGUAAAUUUCAUCUAAAGCUAAAUAUUGGCGAGAGACCGAUAGCGAACAAGUACCGUGAGGGAAAGAUGAAAAGAACUUUGAAAAGAGAGUUAAACAGUACGUGAAAUUGUCAAAAGGGAAGCGUUUGACACCAGUGUUGUUUUUCUGAAAAUCAAUUAAAGAACUGUUUAUGCUAAGCUGUUUAGACUUUAUCAGCUAACUGUUUAGUUUUGAGCUUUUCUUUAAUGCACUUUUCAGUUAACAAGUCAACAUCAAUUUCUUUUGCUGUAAAAAAGCUUGAGGAAGGUGGCUUGAGAUUCGUCUUAAGUGUUUAUAGCCUCUUGCCUAUGCAGUCGGAGAGAUUGAGGUCUGCAGCGUAGAUCCUUCGGGGCUAAAUGCAUUUAUGCUAAGUUAUAGCAUUUUAUAGACAACUUGUUGACUAUGAUUUGUCUUGUAGCUUACUCGCUUAUGUUAUUUUACCUACGCUUAGGAUGUUGAGGACUCUACAGAGAUA
rnacentral:rRNA from 1 species